rnacentral:rRNA from 1 species
UACGUAGGGUGCGAGCGUUGUCCGGAAUUACUGGGCGUAAAGAGCUCGUAGGUGGUUUGUCGCGUUGUUCGUGAAAUCUCACGGCUUAACUGUGAGCGUGCGGGCGAUACGGGCAGACUAGAGUGAUGUAGGGGAGACUGGAAUUCCUGGUGUAGCGGUGAAAUGCGCAGAUAUCAGGAGGAACACCGGUGGCGAAGGCGGGUCUCUGGGCCGAUACUGACGCUGAGGAGCGAAAGCGUGGGGAGCGAACAGG